rnacentral:rRNA from 1 species
UGGGGAAUAUUGGGCAAUGGGGGAAACCCUGACCCAGCAACGCCGCGUGAAGGACGAAGGCCUUCGGGUUGUAAACUUCUUUGAUCAGGGACGAAACAAAUGACGGUACCUGAGGAAAAAGCCACGGCUAACUACGUGCCAGCAGCCGCGGUAAUACGUAGGGGGCAAGCGUUAUCCGGAUUUACUGGGUGUAAAGGGCGUGGAGGCGGUCUUGCAAGUCGGAAGUGAAAUUCCCGGGCUUACCCCGGGCGCUGCUCCCGAAACUGCGAGCCUUGAGUACUGGAGAGGAUAGUGGAAUUCCUAGUGUGGCGGUAAAAUGCGUAGAUAUUAGGAGGAACACCAGUGGCGAAGGCGGCUAUCUGGACAGUAACUGACGCUGAGGCGCGAAAGCGUGGGGAGCAAACGG